GCCUGGGUGGUGGAAUUGGUAGACACGCUAGACUCAAAAUCUUGUGGGCUUUGCUCGUGUGGGUUCGAGUCCCACCCCAGGUA
rnacentral:tRNA from 1 species